GGAGUUAGCCGGUGCUUCUUCUGUGAGUGAUGUCCUUCCUGCCGGCUAUUAACCCGCAGGCCUUCUUCCUCACUGAAAGUGCUUUACAACCCGAAGGCCUUCUUCACACACGCGGCAUGGCUGGAUCAGGGUUGCCCCCAUUGUCCAAUAUUCCCCACUGCUGCCUCCCGUAGGAGUCUGGGCCGUGUCUCAGUCCCAGUGUGGCUGAUCAUCCUCUCAGACCAGCUACGGAUCGUCGCCUUGGUGAGCCGUUACCUCACCAACCAGCUAAUCCGACAUAGGCUCAUCCGAUAGCGCGAGGCCCGAAGGUCCCCCGCUUUCCCCCGUAGGGCGUAUGCGGUAUUAGCCUGGGUUUCCCCAGGUUAUCCCCCACUACCGGGCAGAUUCCUAUGCAUUACUCACCCGUCCGCCGCUCGCCACCAGGGAGCAAGCUCCCCGUGCUGCCGCUCGACUUGCAUGUGUAGCNGCGCCACGCGUCAUCUGAGCAUAAUACAACUACUGA
rnacentral:rRNA from 1 species